UGGGGAAUAUUGGACAAUGGACCAAGAGUCUGAUCCAGCAAUUCUGUGUGCACGAUGACGUUUUUCGGAAUGUAAAGUGCUUUCAGUUGGGAAGAAAAAAAUGACGGUACCAACAGAAGAAGUGACGGCUAAAUACGUGCCAGCAGCCGCGGUAAUACGUAUGUCACGAGCGUUAUCCGGAUUUAUUGGGCGUAAAGCGCGUCUAGGUGGUUAUGUAAGUCUGAUGUGAAAAUGCAGGGCUCAACUCUGUAUUGCGUUGGAAACUGUGUAACUAGAGUACUGGAGAGGUAAGCGGAACUACAAGUGCAGAGGUGAAAUUCGUAGAUAUUUGUAGGAAUGCCGAUGGGGAAGCCAGCUUACUGGACAGAUACUGACGCUGAAGCGCGAAAGCGUGGGUAGCAAACAGGAUUAGAUACCCUGGUAGUCCACGCCGUAAACGAUGAUUACUAGGUGUUGGGGGUCGAACCUCAGCGCCCAAGCAAACGCGAUAAGUAAUCCGCCUGGGGAGUACGUACGCAAGUAUG
rnacentral:rRNA from 1 species